CAGUCGCCGCGGUAAUACGAAGGGGGCUAGCGUUGUUCGGAAUUACUGGGCGUAAAGGGCGCGUAGGCGGCCAUUCAAGUUAGAUGUGAAAGCCCUGGGCUCAACCUAGGAAUUGCGCUUGAUACUGGUACGCUUGAAUCCAGGAGAGGUUGGUGGAAUUCCCAGUGUAGAGGUGAAAUUCGUAGAUAUUGGGAAGAACACCGGUGGCGAAGGCGGCGACCUGGUCCUUGACUGACGCUGAGGCGCGAAAGCGUGGGGAGCAAACAGGAUUAGAUACCCCCGUAGUCCCUGUCUCUUAUAC
rnacentral:rRNA from 1 species